GAUGUGCUCACAAACUGAAAAUACAAAAGUUGAGUGUCACAGAAAUCUCAGACACCGAGAGGAUUACAUGCAUUCAUAAGUUUUAAACAUGUUUAUACAAACAUUAUGAUGUAUAUCAGUUGCUAGCUCAGGCUGAUAUUCUUUUAGAAGCUCAAAAACCCUCCCAGGAAAAGCACAUGAUAAUUUUAAUAGCAGCAGAAGUUCUCU
rnacentral:misc_RNA from 1 species